rnacentral:rRNA from 1 species
GACUACAAGGGUAUCUAAUCCUGUUUGAUCCCCACGCUUUCGUGCAUCAGCGUCAGUCAUGGCUUGGCAGGCUGCCUUCGCAAUCGGGGUUCUGCGUGAUAUCUAAGCAUUUCACCGCUACACCACGCAUUCCGCCUGCCUCAAACAUACUCAAGCCUCCCAGUUUCAACGGCAAUUCUAUGGUUGAGCCACAGACUUUCACCGCUGACUUAAAAGGCCGCCUACGCACCCUUUAAACCCAAUAAAUCCGGAUAACGCUCGCAUCCUCCGUAUUACCGCGGCUGCUGGCACGGAGUUAGCCGAUGCCUUUUCUCCGGGUACUCUCGACGCGCGUUCACGAACGCACGCUUGCUCCCCGGCAAAAGAGGUUUACAAUCCGUAGGACCGUCAUCCCUCACGCGACUUGGCUGGUUCAGGCUCGCGCCCAUUGACCAAUAUUCCUCACUGCUGCCACCCGUAGG